rnacentral:tRNA from 1 species
GGGAAUGUAGCUUAGUGGUAGAGCACUUGCCUGGUAUGCUUGAGGCCUCGGGUUCAAAUCCCAGCACUGCAA